rnacentral:tRNA from 1 species
AAAGAAUUAGUUAAUCUUUAUAACAUAAAUAUGUCAAAUUUAAGUAAUUAAAAUUAUUUAAUAUUCUUUU